rnacentral:lncRNA from 1 species
GGUACUAUGGAUUCCUAAAAUGGUACAAAGCAUGCAUAAAUUAAAUCCUUGCAGUGACAUCUAAAACAAUGUUGUACCUAAAAAAAAGGAAAAGAAAGAUAAUACUCAAAGUUGGCAAGAUGUGAGGAAAUUAGUUUAGUACUCCUCACAUACUACUGGUGGGAGCAUAAUAAACCUAUAAUAAAUAUAAACCUUCUGGAGGGC